AGGUGUGAGAUCAGUCUGCUGGGAUCUGUCAUCCCAUUGAUUGCCAGGGCUGAUUUAGCUGAUCUGACAGGCUAGGCACCCCCUUCCUCCUUCAUCGCUCCAUGUGUCCCCCUCCUGAAGCUGCAGCCUGAAGUGGCAGCUGUGUGCUUGGUUAAAGAGGAUGACCACCCUGAUAGAGGAGGACCACUUCCUCAGUGGAGGUUAUAUGAGUAACUUCGUUCUCCUGCUAGAACCUUCAAACCAGCUUUCAAGAAAAGAAUCCUGGUGUUACCUAGGUAUACCUCCCAUCCCAGCACUUAAGAGGCUG
rnacentral:snRNA from 1 species